CAACUUCUAUUUGCUGCGGGCAAAUAAAGUGAAUAUGCGAAUCAAUCGCGCCUGCUGUCAGAAUUUUGCCCUCACCAGCAAUAAUCUCUGUUCCCGGCCCGAUAAUAAUGUCAAUAUUAUUUUGGGUGUAGGGAUUCCCGGCUUUCCCUAUUUUUACAAUGUUGCCGUCCUUAAUGCCGACAUCGGCUUUUACAAUGCCCCACCAGUCUAAAAUCAGGGCGUUGGUAAUCACCAUAUCCACUGCCCCGUCUGCCCUGGAUAUCGGCGAUUGUCCCAUGCCAUCG
rnacentral:sRNA from 1 species